rnacentral:rRNA from 1 species
GGAAUAUUGGUCAAUGGUCGAGAGACUGAACCAGCCAAGUAGCGUGAAGGAUGACUGCCCUACGGGUUGUAAACUUCUUUUAUGCGGGAAUAAAGUGUGGCACGUGUGCCAUUUUGUAUGUACCGCAUGAAUAAGCAUCGGCUAAUUCCGUGCCAGCAGCCGCGGUAAUACGGAAGAUGCGAGCGUUAUCCGGAUUUAUUGGGUUUAAAGGGAGCGUAGGCGGACGCUUAAGUCUGCGGUAAAAUGUCGUUGCUCAACAUCGGCGUGCCGUGGAAACUGGGUGUCUUGAAUGUGCACAAGGUGGAUGGAAUUCGUGGUGUAGCGGUGAAAUGCUUAGAUAUCACGAAGAACUCCGAUUGCGAAGGCAGUCCACUGGGGCAUGAUUGACGCUGAGGCUCGAAAGUGCGGGAAUCAAACA